CCUAAAGGGGACAUCUCUAUCACCACCAUGACCGCCCUGCUCACUACCACCCACCUAAGGCUCGGGAAACAUCAGGGAAGAGGGCAUGGGACGAAUGUAAGAGGCAAGGAUGGGGAGGAGUGCCGUGGAAUGCUGUCUUCAGGUAUGACAGAGUCAUUCGGCCCUGUACUCAAGAACUCACAACAGCCAUGGUUAUCUCAACAAACCUGCACAAGAUCCAGCCAGUCAGCAUACCUACAUGGAUGAAGGAGGGGGACAAGGCAGAGUAGGGCGGUUGGCGAAAUCUCGGGGCCUCAGAGACUCCAGACCAGCACUGUCGUCCUCAGCAGACUGGAAUCUGCCAGGACCAUGGAGGGAGUCGGCUUCAUCCAACAACUGUGUAGUGUUUCCAUUCCCAUAUCAACUAUGCAGAAUUAAAAGUUUGAUUUCUACA